rnacentral:rRNA from 1 species
AUUGAACGCUGGCGGCAGGCCUAACACAUGCAAGUCGAGCGGAGCGGCGGACGGGCGGGUAAUGCCUAGGAAUCUACCUGGUAGUGGGGGAUAACUUCCGGAAACGGGCGCUAAUAACGCAUACUCUCAGACGGACCUAGGUCGGAUUAGCUGGUUGGGGGGGUAAAGGCCUACCUAGGCGACGAUCCAUAGCUGGUCUGAGAGGAGGACCAGCCAAACUGGAACUGAGACACGGUCCAGACUCCUACGGGAGGCAGCAGUGGGGAAUAUUGCACAAUGGGCGCAAGCCUGAUGCAGCCAUGCCGCGUGUAUGAAGAAGGCCUUCGGGUUGUAAAGUACUUUCAGCGAGGAGGCGUUACUCGCAGAAGAAGCACCGGCUAACUCCGUGCCAGCAGCCGCGGUAAUAC